UACGUAGGGCGCAAGCGUUGUCCGGAAUUAUUGGGCGUAAAGAGCUCGUAGGCGGCUUGUCACGUCGGGUGUGAAAGCCCGGGGCUUAACCCCGGGUCUGCAUUCGAUACGGGCUAGCUAGAGUGUGGUAGGGGAGAUCGGAAUUCCUGGUGUAGCGGUGAAAUGCGCAGAUAUCAGGAAGAACACCCGUGGCGAAGGCGGCUUUCUGGGACGGUACUGACGCUGAGACGCGAAAGCGUGGGGAGCGAACAGG
rnacentral:rRNA from 1 species